rnacentral:rRNA from 2 species
UAGGGAAUCUUCGGCAAUGGACGAAAGUCUGACCGAGCAACGCCGCGUGAGUGAAGAAGGUUUUCGGAUCGUAAAACUCUGUUGUUAGAGAAGAACAAGGACGUUAGUAACUGAACGUCCCCUGACGGUAUCUAACCAGAAAGCCACGGCUAACUACGUGCCAGCAGCCGCGGUAAUACGUAGGUGGCAAGCGUUGUCCGGAUUUAUUGGGCGUAAAGCGAGCGCAGGCGGUUUCUUAAGUCUGAUGUGAAAGCCCCCGGCUCAACCGGGGAGGGUCAUUGGAAACUGGGAGACUUGAGUGCAGAAGAGGAGAGUGGAAUUCCAUGUGUAGCGGUGAAAUGCGUAGAUAUAUGGAGGAACACCAGUGGCGAAGGCGGCACUCUGGUCUGUAACUGACGCUGAGGCUCGAAAGCGUGGGGAGCAAACAGG